GUGGGGAAUCUUGCGCAAUGGGCGAAAGCCUGACGCAGCCAUGCCGCGUGAAUGAUGAAGGUCUUAGGAUUGUAAAAUUCUUUCACCGGGGACGAUAAUGACGGUACCCGGAGAAGAAGCUCCGGCUAACUUCGUGCCAGCAGCCGCGGUAAUACGAAGGUCCCAAGCGUUGUUCGGAAUCACUGGGCGUAAAGGGAGCGUAGGCGGCGUGGUAAGUCAGAUGUGAAAUCCCGGGGCUCAACCCCGGAACUGCAUCCGAUACUGCCAUGCUUGAGGGUUGGAGAGGUAGCGGGAAUUCUCGGUGUAGCAGUGAAAUGCGUGGAUAUCGAGAGGAACACUCGUGGCGAAGGCGAGCUACUGGACAACAUCUGACGCUGAGGCUCGAAGGCCAGGGGAGCAAAAGGGAUUAGAAACCCCAGUAGUCC
rnacentral:rRNA from 1 species